AAAAAAAAAAACAAACAAAAACCCACAAGAAAACCAAAGGAAGCAGUCAAGGCCGCCAGCACGCUUUUUGCAUUUGGAGUAGCCUUUAGGGGACUCCCUUUGCAAGUACACCUGGAUCAUUUGCUAGAAAACAGAUCAAAGCCCACAUAUUGGGGGAUGGGGGGAGGUGGUGCUGGGCGGUGUGCACAGGUCUGGCUGCAUGGUUGCUAAUGUGGAGAUCUGUCUCUGCUAUGGGCAAUUCUGUCCCAGGACACUGGCAAGCAAGGGGCCCCCAGGACUGGGCUCCAGUGUUAUAUUUCAGACUGCCUGGCAGCAUGCCAUAACAUUUUUUAAAUUUUUAGAUAUUAUCCAGUUGGGAGGCCCAGAGCUCCCUCUUCAAGAACUUCCCCAUCAUUUCCCCCCGCUGUGGCCCCUGAAGUUCUCCAGGGAGAACCCCAGAAGUCUCAUUCACACCUGGGCUGUGUACUUCACCCAGCAUCCCUUGUCAGUAUGCACAGAGCCUGCUUAGUUCUGGCAGUGCUGAAGCCAGAUUGAGAACCACAGCAGAAAAGGCUGAGAGGCUGAGUCCUGAGGUGAUUGUGAACAUCUGGUGAGAGAAUGGAUGUGAAGGUCUUUUUAGCAACAUUAGAACACUACAAAAAUCACACAUCUGAAUGAUUUAAUGGAGGGAGAAACAGAUAGCUUCCCUGUCGUCUUUACUGGCAAUCUGCAUGCUGAGAAAGCUCAGCUGUCAGAGAAGAGGCAAUGCUUUUCUGGAGAACGCUUCCAG
rnacentral:lncRNA from 1 species